rnacentral:rRNA from 1 species
GACGAACGCUGGCGGCGUGCCUAAUACAUGCAAGUCGAACGCAGUGGGGACGGGUGAGUAACACGUGGGUAACCUCCCAUCAGAGGGGAUAACACUUGGAAAAAGGUGCUUAACUGAUACUGAUGGAUGGACCAGGUGUGCAUUAGCUAGUUGGUGAGGUAACGGCUCACCAAGGCGACGAUGUAUAGCUGUCCUGAGAGGGGGAUCUGCCACACUGGGACUGAGACACGGCCCAGACUCCUACGGGAGGCAGCAGUAGGGAAUCUUGGGCAAUGGACGAAAGCCUGACCGAGCAACGCCGCGUGUGUGAAGAAGGUUUUCGGAUCGUAAAGCUCUGUUGUUAGAGAAGCGGUAUCUAACCAGAAAGCCACGGCUAACUACGUGCCAGCAGCCGCGGUAAUUC